rnacentral:rRNA from 1 species
GGUUAAGCGACUAAGCGUACACGGUGGAUGCCCUGGCAGUCAGAGGCGAUGAAGGACGUGCUAAUCUGCGAUAAGCGUCGGUAAGGUGAUAUGAACCGUUAUAACCGGCGAUUUCCGAAUGGGGAAACCCAGUGUGUUUCGACACACUAUCAUUAACUGAAUCCAUAGGUUAAUGAGGCGAACCGGGGGAACUGAAACAUCUAAGUACCCCGAGGAAAAGAAAUCAACCGAGAUUCCCCCAGUAGCGGCGAGCGAACGGGGAGGAGCCCAGAGCCUGAAUCAGUGUGUGUGUUAGUGGAAGCGUCUGGAAAAGCGCGCGAUACAGGGUGACAGCCCCGUACACAAAAAUGCACAUGCUGUGAGCUCGAUGAGUAGGGCGGGACACGUGGUAUCCUGUCUGAAUAUGGGGGGACCAUCCUCCAAGGCUAAAUACUCCUGACUGACCGAUAGUGAACCAGUACCGUGAGGGAAAGGCGAAAAGAACCCCGGCGAGGGGAGUGAAAAAGAACCUGAAACCGUGUACGUACAAGCAGUGGGAGCACGCUUAGGCGUGUGACUGCGUACCUUUUGUAUAAUGGGUCAGCGACUUAUAUUCUGUAGCAAGGUUAACCGAAUAGGGGAGCCGAAGGGAAACCGAGUCUUAACUGGGCGUUAAGUUGCAGGGUAUAGACCCGAAACCCGGUGAUCUAGCCAUGGGCAGGUUGAAGGUUGGGUAACACUAACUGGAGGACCGAACCGACUAAUGUUGAAAAAUUAGCGGAUGACUUGUGGCUGGGGGUGAAAGGCCAAUCAAACCGGGAGAUAGCUGGUUCUCCCCGAAAGCUAUUUAGGUAGCGCCUCGUGAAUUCAUCUCCGGGGGUAGAGCACUGUUUCGGCAAGGGGGUCAUCCCGACUUACCAACCCGAUGCAAACUGCGAAUACCGGAGAAUGUUAUCACGGGAGACACACGGCGGGUGCUAACGUCCGUCGUGAAGAGGGAAACAACCCAGACCGCCAGCUAAGGUCCCAAAGUCAUGGUUAAGUGGGAAACGAUGUGGGAAGGCCCAGACAGCCAGGAUGUUGGCUUAGAAGCAGCCAUCAUUUAAAGAAAGCGUAAUAGCUCACUGGUCGAGUCGGCCUGCGCGGAAGAUGUAACGGGGCUAAACCAUGCACCGAAGCUGCGGCAGCGACACUAUGUGUUGUUGGGUAGGGGAGCGUUCUGUAAGCCUGUGAAGGUGUGCUGU